rnacentral:rRNA from 1 species
CAUGUCUUUUUGAUAAUAAUUUAAAGUCUGGCCUGCCCUAUGAAUUUAAUGUUUAAAUGGCCGCGGUAUUUUGACCGUGCAAAGGUAGCAUAAUAAUUAGUUUUUUAAUUGGGAACUGGUAUGAAUGGUCGAACGAGAAAAAAACUGUCUCAAUUUAAUUUAAAUUAGAAUUUUAUUUUUAAGUAAGAAAGCUUAAAUAAUUUUAAAAGACGAGAAGACCCUAUAGAGUUUUAUAUAGAUUAUAUAUAUUUGAAAAUUGAAGUAUUUUUAAUUUGAUUAUUAAAAUUUAAUAUUUAAUUGGGGUGAUUUAAAAAUUAAUUAAACUUUUUUUAUAUAUUUACACUGAUUUGUGGGUAAGUGAUCCAUAGUUUAUGAUUAUAAGAUUAAAUUACCUUAGGGAUAACAGCGUAAUUUUUUUUGAGAGUUCUUAUCGAAAAAAAAGUUUG